rnacentral:rRNA from 2 species
UCUAGGCCCCGUCAGGAGCCCGAGUUGUAAUUUGGAGAGGACACUUCGGGUGCCCCCAGUACGGCGAGUGAAGCGGCAAAAGCUCAAAUUUGAAAUCUGGCUCCUUCCGGGGUCCGAGUUGUAAUUUGCAGAGGAUGCUUUGGGUGCACCCGCGGCGUAAGUCCCUUGGAACAGGGCGUCAUAGAGGGUGAGAAUCCCGUCUUGAGUCGCUGGCGUGUGCCCGUGCAAAGCUCCUUCGACGAGUCGAGUUGUUUGGGAAUGCAGCUCUAAUUGGGUGGUAAAUUUCAUCUAAAGCUAAAUACUGGCCGGAGACCGAUAGCGAACAAGUAGAGUGAUCGAAAGGUUAAAAGCACCUUGAAAAGGGAGUUAAAUAGCACGUGAAAUUGUUGAAAGGGAAGCGCUUGCAGCCAGACUCGGGCGCGGAGGCUCAGCGGGCAUGUUUGCCCGUGUACUCCUUCGCGCCCGGGCCAGCAUCGGUUUUGGCGGCCGGUCAAAGGCCCCCGGAAUGUGUCGUCCUCCGGGACGUCUUAUAGCCGGGGGUGCAAUGCGGCCAGCCGGGACCGAGGAACGCGCUUCGGCACGGAUGCUGGCGUAAUGGCUGUAAGCGGCCCGUCUUGAAACACGGACC